rnacentral:rRNA from 1 species
UGCAAGUCGAGCGGGCGUAGCAAUACGUCAGCGGCAGACGGGUGAGUAACGCGUGGGAACGUACCUUUUGGUUCGGAACAACACAGGGAAACUUGUGCUAAUACCGGAUAAGCCCUUACGGGGAAAGAUUUAUCGCCGAAAGAUCGGCCCGCGUCUGAUUAGCUAGUUGGUGAGGUAAUGGCUCACCAAGGCGACGAUCAGUAGCUGGUCUGAGAGGAUGAUCAGCCACAUUGGGACUGAGACACGGCCCAAACUCCUACGGGAGGCAGCAGUGGGGAAUAUUGGACAAUGGGGGCAACCCUGAUCCAGCCAUGCCGCGUGAGUGAUGAAGGCCCUAGGGUUGUAAAGCUCUUUUGUGCGGGAAGAUAAUGACGGUACCGCAAGAAUAAGCCCCGGCUAACUUCGUGCCAGCAGCCGCGGUAAUACGAAGGGGGCUAGCGUUGCUCGGAAUCACUGGGCGUAAAGGGUGCGUAGGCGGGUCUUUAAGUCAGGGGUGAAAUCCUGGAGCUCAACUCCAGAACUGCCUUUGAUACUGAGGAUCUUGAGUUCGGGAGAGGUGAGUGGAACUGCGAGUGUAGAGGUGAAAUUCGUAGAUAUUCGCAAGAACACCAGUGGCGAAGGCGGCUCACUG